rnacentral:rRNA from 1 species
GGAAUCUUCCACAAUGGACGCAAGUCUGAUGGAGCAACGCCGCGUGUGUGAUGAAGGGUUUCGGCUCGUAAAACACUGUUGUAAGAGAAGAAUGACAUUGAGAGUAACUGUUCAAUGUGUGACGGUAUCUUACCAGAAAGGAACGGCUAAAUACGUGUCAG